rnacentral:rRNA from 1 species
AGAUUAGAGUGUGCUAGCUUGCUAGAAUUUAGAUACAGGUGCUGCACGGCUGUCGUCAGCUCGUGUCGUGAGAUGUUGGGUUAAGUCCCGCAACGAGCGCAACCCUCGUGUUUAGUUGCUAACAGUUCGGCUGAGAACUCUAAACAGACUGCCUACGCAAGUAGGAGGAAGGUGAGGACGACGUCAAGUCAUCAUGGCCCUUACGGCCAGGGCUACACACGUGCUACAAUGGGGUAUACAAAGAGCAGCGAUACGGUGACGUGGAGCAAAUCUAGAAAAUGCCUCUCAGUUCGGAUUGUAGUCUGCAACUCGACUACAUGAAGUUGGAAUCGCUAGUAAUCGUAGAUCAGCAAUGCUACGGUGAAUACGUUCCCGGGUCUU